GCAAUUAAGAAUGACCUGUGAAUCGUUGGAUAGUGCCAUCUUGUAAGAGCGAGCAUCGCGCAACAACAUGAUGUUGUCCCGAUGUAUCGACCAAAACUAAAAAAACUCGGCGCGGCUUGCGCCAAGGAAAUGUAAAACGUGGAGCACACGCCAAGGAGAUCUUUUGCAUCUCCUAGACGUUGUAAGCCUUCCAAAAAUAUUCAUGAACAACUCUCGGCAACGGAUAUCUUGGUUCUCGCAUCGAUGAAGAACGCAGCGAAAUGCGAUACUUGGUGUGAAUUGCAGAAUCCCGUGAACCAUCGAGUUUUUGAACGCAAGUUGCGCCCGAGGCCACUCGGCCGAGGGCACGUCUGCCUGGGCGUCACGAAAACGCCACUCCCAUUCCCUAUAGAAUGGGAGUGAAAUAUGGCCCCCCGCGACUUGUUUGCGGCCGGCUGAAAUAGCAUGCCCAACAGUUGCUUCACGACACGAUCGAUGGUAGUUUAUUACACGAUCGUUUAUCGCGAUCGGACGACGUGUUCGGAAGCAUGGGCGAAUGGACCCAAUCUCCUAACGCGACCUCAGGUCAGGCGGGGCCACCCGCUGAGUUUAAGCAUAUC
rnacentral:rRNA from 1 species